UACAUACUCCCUCCGUCCGGAAAUACUUGUCGUACAAAUAGAUAAAAUUGGAUGUAUCUAGAACUAAAAUACAUCUAAAUACAUCCAUUUUUUCGACAAGUAUUUCCGGACAGAGAGAGUACAUU
rnacentral:pre_miRNA from 1 species